rnacentral:rRNA from 1 species
GAUAAACGCUGGCGGCGUGCUUUAUGCAUGCAAGUCGAACGGUUCCGAUUUAUCGGAACAGUGGCGAAUGGGUGAGUAACACGUAAGUAACCUGCCCCUAAGUAGGGAAUAACUUCGGGAAACCGGGGCUAAUACCUUAUGUGCUUAUAAUGGUAAGGCGUUGUAAGUAAAGCCUUCGGGUGCUUGGGGAGGGGCUUGCGUCCGAUUAGCUAGUUGGUAGGGUAAAGGUUUACCAAGGCGAUGAUCGGUAGCUGGUUUGAGAGGGCAGUCAGCCACACUGGGACUGAGACACGGCCCAGACUCCUACGGGAGGCAGCAGCAAGGAAUAUUGUGCAAUGGGCGCAAGCCUGACACAGCGACGCCGCGUGAGGGAUGAAGAUCUUCGGGUUGUAAACCUCUUUUUCUCAGGGAAGAAUAAUGACGGUACCUGAGGAAUAAGUCUCGGCUAACUACGUG